GGGCUGGUAGAUCAGACUGGUAGAUCGCGUGCUUCGCAAGCACGAGGCCGCGGGUUCAAAUCCCGUCCAGUCCA
rfam:Candidatus Micrarchaeota archaeon CG1_02_55_41 cg1_0.2_scaffold_746_c, whole genome shotgun sequence.